rnacentral:sRNA from 1 species
AAGUCUUCUGAGGAUAAAGAUGAAGACGACAACAGUAGCAGCAACUCUUCAGAAGAAAAGAAACAAGGCAAAGGAAACAAACAAGUCGGG